GAUGCUGACGAGUGGCGAACGGGUGAGUAAUACAUCGGAACGUGCCCGAUCGUGGGGGAUAACGAGGCGAAAGCUUUGCUAAUACCGCAUACGAUCUACGGAUGAAAGCGGGGGAUCUUCGGACCUCGCGCGGACGGAGCGGCCGAUGGCAGAUUAGGUAGUUGGUGGGAUAAAAGCUUACCAAGCCGACGAUCUGUAGCUGGUCUGAGAGGAUGAUCAGCCACACUGGGACUGAGACACGGCCCAG
rnacentral:rRNA from 1 species